GCAUAUGGCCUGAGACAAGAGCAAGCAUGUACAUCUUCCGGGAACCACUAGGAGCCCAGCGUGAGUGGAGUGGAAUGAGCAAGGAGAUCAGUAGAAGAUACCAACCAGGAAAAAGUAAGCCCUAUGAAACAGAUGAUGAUCAAAAUACCUUUUCAGGUAUUUGUUAUUGGCAAAGCUCAUCUGGUAAUCACAGUGGAACCUCCUACCUCACUCCAAAAACUUAAACCUUCAAAAGCUAGUGAAACAGAAGUCUCCACCCAGCGACACAUGGGAAAACUCUAAAAGAACAGAGGCUUGGCUGACCGACCAGAAAUAGGUCCUUUUUUAUCUGCUAUCUCAAGAAGGAGGAAUCAAGAAUAUACACGGUCCCUGAGCAAAGGCAGGACUGACAUGAAGCAAGAGCCAUGUCCUACAUAUUGCCCACAAACCAGAAGAAUGGUCCCACGUUUGGACUUGUAUGAUCAACUGGGUGCCAGUCACUCCUCCCAAGCAGAGGAACAAGCGAGAGCCAAAUGUCACUGCUUAUAUUUGAGAAGAGUGGAAAACCUUCAUGAAAUGAGAACAAGGAGUACAGAUUGCUCACAACAGUUUUCACUGUACUAAUAGCCAUGUAUCCAGCUUCUGUAGACUAUCGCAAGCCUUUAUAAUAGAGCCCGAAGUUAACAUCAUGCUGCAUAGAUGAUAGAAGCAGCAUAGAAC
ensembl:lncRNA novel transcript